UACACACACUGUGAAUCAUCGAAUCUUUGAACGCACCUUGCACUGGCCGUAAUUGGCCAGUAUACCUGUUUGAGUAUCAUACAACCUCAUGCGCGCCUUGCUAAGCCGGGUGUCGCGUGGAUCUGAGGGGUCUCCUGUGACGGGAGUCUCUUGAAACGUAGGAUGCAGACUUCUCAGCCGUCUACAGUGCCAGUACCAUUUCGGAGGCCGUCUCUUUGGAGUCGGCUGACGUGGGUUGUGUCUGUAGGAGGUCGUGGGGAGCGAGCAUGUCUGACUGAUUGCUGGGUGCCUUGGUGCCCAGUUACACUGAUCUCAAAUCAAGUAAGACUACCCGCUGAACUUAAGCAUAUCAAUAAGCGGAGG
rnacentral:rRNA from 1 species